CAUGAUUCUGCCUAAAAUUUAAGGUAUUUAUUGAAGACUCCACUGGGUGCCAAGGCAGAGGCCUAACUCAAAAAGUAAGCAAACAAACAUGAGAAUGACAGAUUAUGACAAGUGGCAUGAAGAAAAUAAAUCAGAUAAUAGGAAGUGAUUGGAGGGAGAAGACACUCUGGAUGAGGUGAUCCUGGGAGGGUCUCUGAGGUAGAGGCCUUUGAGCUGAGCCAAGCCCUGAAGGAUGAGGAGUGAUUCUGCCUCCUCAUA
rnacentral:lncRNA from 10 species